AAGCGACUGCACGCUAGAUGAUCUUCAGAAGUGGCAGCUUUUGGUUCAGCGUUUUUGGAAGCAUUGGGCCACUGAGUAUCUACAAGAAAUGCAGAAAUGUUAUGCAAGUGGUGGCAGCAACAACAGCAACACCCGGCAGGCAAUUGACGUUUCAUACUAGGGCGAGGGGCGUUGAAACGCAUGGAAGAGCAGCAAGAAACACGGACGAGCGCUGAUGAACUGCAACUGUGUGCGUGUAACAGCACCAAACGGCAUGUGACGACGUACAGUGUGUGGAUGUGUGUGUGUAAUUUUAGGCAGCGAAGAUGGAUCGAGGUUAUGUUUACAAAGUGAAAAAGUUUGAUGCAGAAGCGUCUUUGUGAUAAACAUGUAUUUUAGUUGCAUAAUUUCAGUGUUAAAGUUUGUAAUGUGAACUUAAAAGUAAUGACCAAUGGUGCUAUUCACUUGUGUGCUGUUGGCGAAUAUUGAAGCGUUGAAAUAUUGAAGCUUCCUAUGUUAGUUUGUUGUGCUUAGUGUGAAGCAAAAAUGUGUGCUAAAGUGUUAUAAAUUAGAAAUAUGUAUGCGUAUCCGUCUAAUGUUCGGUUAAAUCUAUCUAAUUUUCCAUAUUUUUGGGUGUCCUUAUCGUUUACCAGGAGAAAACGAUAGAUGGAGGUUAGAUACGUGCAGCUAUUUGCCUCCGCAGGAAGUGUCCUUCAGAAGUGUUCCAAGCUGUCCGAAGACACACAAAUCCGCAAUCCACAAUCCAAGCACACAAAUCCGAUUCACCUCGUAUGCACCCAGCGGAUUUCAUGCGAAGGAUAUUGAAAAGCCAUCAAAGAAGUGGGCAUGAUGGUAAGGAAACUUUAAUUAUUUUUACUUUAAGAUUUCUUAUCCUUAUUUUUGUUUACAACCUUGGAUCGUCGGUGCGGGCCUUAUGGGAACUGCGCGGUCAGAGCAACAACCGGAUGAGCAUUUCGUUUCAGGUGGAAAUUAUAUCAAGUUUGGGAAUUGAAGAGAGUUACGGCACACUGUGAACAUCGUUGUAAACAAUCGAUGGUAACAUUUAUGUAUAGCUUAUGAAUGCAUGUGUUUAUCUAAUUAUUCAUUAAUUCGUUUAUUUAUUAAUUUGAGCAUUAGCGCUCCAUCGACAUUUUUUUUUGUUCUUUUUAGAAAAUUGCUCUAACGGAACAGCUUAUCCCGGCCUUUCUCGGGUUUAGUUGCUGUUGCUUGACCGCGACGAUUGACACCAGAGUUUGCUAUGGUCGUAUUGUCGUCGUAUAAUCGUGUUAUCGCUGUUAACACACUUUGUUUAUAUCUAUUAAGAUGCAACAGCAUUAUUUAUUUUCCGGAAUAUGGCUAGCGUUGUUCCUCCUUAUAAGACGAAGACGUUUGAAAUUAGCACCUGUGUCAAUCGUCAAACGGUUGGCAAUAAAGUACAAUAAAUGAUAGGAGCAAAAACGCGAUGGCUGUUAGUGAUUUGCGAAAUGAAACCAACAGCCAUUUUACAUUUUUUAUCUUAAACAAGUCCUAUAUUAACCCCUGAAAGCUACCAAAGCUACAAUUUUUCAUUUCAUUUGUAUAAUUAGAGAAGAAUAGAUAAAAGGUGUAAUAUAGUAUCAAUAGGACAUUACAAUUAAUAAAAAUGGAAAAGCAAUGUGUUUAUCAAUAAAUAAUAUGUAAUAUAUAUAUACAGCAACUAUAAAUAGAGCGAUUUAACUAAAUAUAAAUAUAUGUUUAUUUCUUCCUUCUAUGGCAGCUUGUUUUAACAUUUCCCUGUAUGUUUACUCUUGCCGGUGCAUGUGUCAGUUUUCUUUUUAAAUAUUCUUUAUCAUAUUCUAUAUCUAUGUCUAUUCCCACGUGGUUUGUGGCGAUAGACUUAAAUAAGCACUGUAUUUGGGUAGUUACUAAAAGCUAUUUUUUCCUGACGAUCCUUCCCAGCUACACCGUGCAAGAAAAGUCCCAUCAAACAUUAACGCUGAUCAUUUUGGCUGGUGUACGGCUCACAAUACAAACAGAUCCUCUAGCAGCCGCUAUCACCGAUGCAGAAGCACUGGAGGGUAAUUGUUGUCUUACAACAGCGGACAUCAUACCACGCUGAUUCUUCGGAGCAUGAACUUCGACAAGCGAUGCAAUCGAUGGUACUGCAGAUCCCGCCAAUGCCUGUUGUCUACCGAUCUUCAUACCUGAUUCCUGCGGUAGAGCAUCAACAACCGGUACCACUGAUGGCGCAGCAGUACUAGUUGACGGUUGCUGUCUAUGUUGCUGGCCUAACGGACGGAAUGGUGCAGGAACACCAGGUAAUGUUGACCGAUGAUGAUUACCAUCACCGGCAUUCGAGACCAGCGCUGACACUUCAUCCGUUACCUUCAGCUGUUCAACAACACGGACUGGCAUUCUUUGUUGACUCGCGCUGACCGGCCACUGAAACCACCGAAGGCACUACACUUGUUGUCGGAAGUUGUACAACAACACGCACCGGCAAUCCGGGAGGACGGAUGGUACGAGGAAUUGCAACCGAAACCAUCGAUGGCACUGCACUUGUUGUCGGAAGUUGUCCAACAACACGGACCGGCAAUCUGGGAGGAUGGAUAGCACGAGGAAUUGCAACCGAAACCACCGAUGGCACUGCACUUGUCGUCGGAAGUUGUCCAACAACACGGACUGGUACAUCUGACUGACGAAGCUACUUAUCACAUACCCGCAUUUUAUGUCCCCAUUCUUGGUGUUUCCGGGUUACUCGCCAUCGCGCUGUAGUCGGAUCAUACUGCUCCUGUCCUGCUUCGAUUAAUGCCUCCGCAAAGACAACAUUAGAGCACGCGUUCCUAUUCCUCAUCCUCCGGCACCGUCUGGAAAAUGUGGGAGUCACUGCUCUAUAAAAACCACCGGACUACCACAAACUGGAAACAGCGGAAAACCCCGUGGGUCACCGGCCACCGUGCUAAAUUGAAGCAAAGUUGAACUAAUAUGCCGUGCGAAAAAGCAAAAUAAAUAUUUCAUUUUAAUGUUUAUUAAGCUACACCGACAUUAUAUUUUUCAUCUAAAACGUUUUUGAUGUGUUUUUUCUCAUCGCGUUUAGGCGUCGUGUAUGAGAUCGCAACUGCUAAUAAUUUCGUCGUCUGAGGCGGACUGUUAUGGAGGUACAAAAUCUUCAGUGAUGAUGAAUGCGUUCACGCAUCUACGAGCCGGUAAUUGGCGGUAUCCAGAUCAUCGUCGUACUGUUAGCUUACCUAAGCUACCGAAAUUAGCGUCAGUGUAAAAUCUGUGCUGUGAGAAUUACAGUUGGCUCUCACAACCGUCCGGAAGUCGCAGUGAUAAUGGUAACAUCAAGAUCAUCACCACCGCACGAAGCGCAGCAUAUUGACCCAAGCCCAAGCGGACAGCAACCACCUGCAGCAAACGUACGCCGAACGAAUGGUCGUGGUAGACGCGUUAGGAUUGCAAGGCGAUACUUGCGCUCUGAAAAUGCUAGCACAGAUGUUUGGGCCACAGAGGUGACGUUCCGAGAUUGUAAAAACAUACCGGGCCCACAGUUUCAGAUAAGCCGUUCUCAUCAAUGCCAUACCAUGUACGGUCGGCUAGUUACACUUCAUCACGAAGGACAAUCACAUCUGGGUGAUGGAAUGCUGUCAAAACGAUGAAGCUGGCUUAGUCCUCGAUGACGACAACAAAUUGUUUGAACAUGUUCAAUUAAACAAACAUGUUGUUUUGGCUUCUCAUAAUUAAUGGUGAAUGCUGCUGCGUGAUAAACGUUUUCGUGCGCUAAAUAAGGUUUGUAUGAAAAAUAGUGUAUUUUUAAAAUAUUUAAUUUUCAAUAAAGUAACGGUCAAUUUGAAAAUAAGCUGUGUUGAUAUA